UGCCGUCUCUUUCUUUGCACUUUAGAGAGUGCUUCCGCAGUUGUCAUAGGCACUGCUCUCAAGUCUCAAUCAGUGUUCUAGCUGCAGGUUCACUUUCUCCCUCUACAAAACCUACACAGCAAUCUAAACCUUUUAACAAUGGCAAGCAAGGAGCCUGAGCACGAACACAGAGAAGAUGAAGAAGCCACCGGAGCCGAUGACGAAGAUACCGGAGCUCAGGUUGCGCCGAUUGUACGGCUUGAGGAAGUAGCCGUAACUACUGGCGAAGAGAACGAAGAUGCUAUCCUUGAUUUGUAUGUAAUUUGUCUUUUUAGACGCUACAGAGUCCGCCCUUUUGUAACAUUUGAACAGGCGCAAGUAUUUACCACUAUAGAAAACUAAACAUGCCAUGUAAUAUUUAUGUCUAACGUUGAAGCCGUGCUCUUAGCUGAGGUCCUGGAUAGCUUAAUGAUUCCUUCGAUCAAUUGUCUGUAACAAUGAUAUUGUGUUGGCACGGGCCAUACCCACUAGCAAGAUAAUUUGAUAAUUCGUGGUUAAAUAGGAUUGGGAUUAGGAUUAGGGGGGAAUCUUAAGGUUUAGCACGAAAGAUGUUUGCUAAUUUCUGUGUUUCGUAUAGUGAGAUUUUUUCUCCUACUCUUUUAUAUCUAAAGAACUUGAGUUUCAUCUUCAGAUACAACUCCGCCCAUUAAGCAUAUCCAAGAACAACUGUCGAACAAACUGUUUUGUAUUAAACUAAAAAAAUCAGUCUGGAGUAAUUCCGACAGCGAGCAUACGAAACUAUUGGUUUUGUUUUAUGUUGAAAAGGAACAUAUGUUCUCAACAAGUGCCGGUGAAAGAAGCCAAAAAAAAAGAAAGAGUGUCAUCGAGUACAACCGAACAAGAAAUGGAAGAAGCAGUUGUCAAAUUUGAACAUCACGCGAGAUGCUGAAACCAGAACCGCCGACAGCAUUAUGGAAUAUAUAAAAGGAGUUCAUGGUCAUUACGUUUGUUAACUUUGAGUCGCUUCCACCAACUUAGCAUUGUAAUAAGCCCUUGGGAUGCCAAUGCACUUUCUUUCUGAUUCAGAUUAGAAAAGGCAAAACAAACCAAAGAGUUUGGUGCUUCUAUGACAUUGUUCAAGAAUGGUACAAGGCUUAAGAAAAAAAUAGGACGAUGUGAAGUCUUUCAGUUGAGUGAUUUGUGAGAUGCCACCACAGAACCCCAGAGCACUGCAGAUGGCAGCACCUGUGCUGAGUCAUUUGUGACUCUGGGAUCUCUCUUCUAGAAGCAAUGGGACACUGUUUUCCUCUUUAUAAGCAUUUGUUAUUAUUCUUUCCUAGGUGUAGAAGCCAAAAUCUGAAGCAAUAAACACAAAUUUUCUUC